GAAAAAAAAGAAGGAAGGAAGAAGGAGGAAAUUUAGUGAAAGGAGUAUAAUUUCUUGCUUAAAUUGCUUGAUGGAUUAAUUUCUAAUUUAAUCAAGACAGAUAGCAGCCGAAUUGAGUAGCUUUGGAGCUUGUUGAACCACCGAAUUGAUCCACACGUCUAUGUUGUAUGACAUCCUUUAUCAGAUUAUACAUUAUGUGUUCUUUUGGGAUACAUGUAGUUUAAAUCAAAAAAGUUCAUUAUGGGCUCAUUAAAUAUUUGGUAUCUUUAGUAUAUUUGAGUAUUGUUGGUUGUAAAGCAAGUAAAUGUUGGUUUGCCAACAUUUUAUUUGAAUAGUUUGUAUUUUUAGGGACUGUCGUAGCCAAUUCAUAUUACAUGUAUUGAUUUGAGAAAAAUUGGUUAUUGUUCAGAUGGUUUUAGUUCAUAUUUUAGGGAAAACUUUGUCAAAAUUUUGUUAAAAAUAUUUUUCAAUUAAGCAAGUCAAGGUUGCCUUGUGGUGGGUUCGACGUUCAGUUAGUAUCUACCAUCGAUGCAUGACACAUGUCAGAUCCAUUAAGGUGAUUAGGAAUGGGUGUAGAAGGAGAGAUUAAACCAGUCGUUGCCGAAA